CGCCAGUGGAGAAGGAUCUCUUCUGGAGAUCCACUCCACUGGAAUUUCCUGUGCAAGCCCAGGUUAUGGUGGCUGCUAAUAAUAUAAAUGGCGCCCACAAAUUCAAGACUUGGUGGUGGCUAUGAGCUGAGCAAUGGGAAAGAGAAAGAACUGGUGGUUUUUGGAGACUGUCAAUGAAAGGAAGGUCACAGAUGGAAAAAGAUGAUACAUGCGAUGAUAUCUAAAAUGGAGAUGACUCUUGAUGUUAUGACUCUUUCAGUGCCUCUGUACUCCAACUGGGAGAUUCAGACCAAGGUGUUAACAGUGUACUUGUGAGGAUGUUUCAUCUGAACCAGUUGGGAUGGAUACCUAGAUUAAUCCAGAGAAGUAAACUCGAUGAAAUAAAAUAAA